rnacentral:rRNA from 1 species
GACGAACGCUGGCGGCGUGCCUAAUACAUGCAAGUAGAACGCUGAAGAGAGGAGCUUGCUCUUCUUGGAUGAGUUGCGAACGGGUGAGUAACGCGUAGGUAACCUGCCUGGUAGCGGGGGAUAACUAUUGGAAACGAUAGCUAAUACCGCAUGAAAUGGAUUAUCGCAUGAUAAUCGAUUGAAAGGUGCAAAUGCAUCACUACCAGAUGGACCUGCGUUGUAUUAGCUAGUUGGUGGGGUAACGGCUCACCAAGGCAACGAUACAUAGCCGACCGGAGAGGGUGAUCGGCCACACUGGGACUGAGACACGGCCCAGACUCCUACGGGAGGCAGCAGGAGGGAAUCUUCGGCAAUGGACGGAAGUCUGACCGAGCAACGCCGCGUGAGUGAAGAAGGUUUUCGGAUCGUAAAGCUCUGUUGUAAGAGAAGAACGAGUGUGAGAGUGGAAAGUUCACACUGUGACGGUAUCUUACCAGAAAGGGACGGCUAACUACGUGCCAGCCGCCGCCGUAA